rnacentral:ncRNA from 2 species
GGUACCUGUACUCGUUGCGGUGCAACGAUGGUUAAAG